rnacentral:rRNA from 1 species
AGAGUUUGAUCAUGGCUCAGGAUGAACGCUAGCGGCAGGCCUAACACAUGCAAGUCGAGGGGCAGCGAGGGUAGCAAUACCUGUCGGCGACCGGCGCACGGGUGAGUAACGCGUAUGCAACCUACCCAUAACAGGGGGAUAGCCCGGAGAAAUUCGGAUUAAAACCCCAUAAAAUUACAGCACUGCAUGGUGCAAUAAUUAAAUUUCCGAAGGUUAUGGAUGGGCAUGCGUGGCAUUAGUUAGUUGGUGAGGUAACGGCUCACCAAGGCGACGAUGCCUAGGGGGCCCGAGAGGGUAGUCCCCCACACUGGUACUGAGACACGGACCAGACUCCUACGGGAGGCAGCAGUGAGGAAUAUUGCGCAAUGGAGGCAACUCUGACGCAGCCAUGCCGCGUGCAGGAUGACGGCCCUACGGGUUGUAAACUGCUUUUAUACAGGAAGAAACCCCUGAUCGUGAUCGGGGCUGACGGUACUGUAAGAAUAAGCAUCGGCUAACUCCGUGCCAGCAGCCGCGGUAAUACGGAGGAUGCAAGCGUUAUCCGGAUUUAUUGGGUUUAAAGGGUGCGUAGGCGGAUUGGUAAGUCAGUGGUGAAAUACUGCAGCUUAACUGUAGCACUGCCAUUGAUACUGCCGGUCUUGAGUGCGAUUGAGGUAGGCGGAAUGUGUAAUGUAGCGGUGAAAUGCUUAGAUAUUACACAGAACACCGAUUGCGUAGGCAGCUUACUAAGUCGUAACUGACGCUGAGGCACGAAAGCGUGGGGAUCGAACAGGAUUAGAUACCCUAGUAGUCC